rnacentral:sRNA from 1 species
GUCAGGUGUGUUGGCUCACACCUGUAAUUCUAGCUACUCAGGAGACUGAGUCUGGAGAAUUACAUGUCUGAGAUCAGUCUAGUCAAUUUAGUGAGACCCUGUCUCAG